UCGGCGUUGUGUCAUCUUCAGUGUAAUUUUUCGUAACUCCUCUUUGGAGAAAGAUUUGUAUGAAAAUAUAGAAGAGCUAUCUUUAAAUACAAAUAGUUCCGAAGAGGUUAAAAAUAGUAUUUGCACUAAAUCUACCAGCAUCAAUAGCUUCACAACCAUGUUGACAAAGUUAAAAUGCAAAUAACACGUUUCAGAUAUUUGCCUCGAUUUUUUGUUUAAAGAGCUCUUGAAUAUAAUUACUAUUGAUAAAAAUUCACAAAUAUUGAAAGUUAAUCAUAUUUUUGAUGGCGCUGAACAAAGUAGUAUAAAAAAUGAGAUCAUUAGCCGCAUUCUGGACAUUAUAUACCCCUACUAGAGACUUUGAAAAGUUUGCUUAGUGAUGAAAAAUAUUUUGAAGUGUUUUGUAAAAUGAAAAGUAUUAAAAAUAAAAUUUAUUCGGAUUACAAUGACGGUAUCGUGAAUAAAAACCAAAGUUUUUUUAAUUCCGGUGAGCUCUUAAUUUUUCAAGAUGCAUUUGAAUUGUGCAACCCCUUGGGAUCAUCCAAAAAGAAGCACAAAUUGAUUGGAUUUUAUUUUAUGAUAGGAAAUAUUGUGGUGCAAAACAUUCAACUAAUUUUAUCAUGCAACCAAAGCUAUAUAAAAAAUUUCGGCUUCGAAAUUAUUUUAAAACCAUUACUUAGUGACCUGAAAAUAUUGGAGACAGAAGGUCUAACUUUUCUAAAUAAAAAAACUGGCAUGCAAGAACACCUAUUUGGAACUGUGUUUGCAGUAAUUAGCGACAAUUUAGGUUCCCACCAAAUCGGUGGUUUCAACCAAAAUUUCAGUUUUUCACAAUAUAUUUGCAGAUAUUGUUUCUUUGAGCGUAAGAAUUUAGCUUUAAAAAAUAUCGAAGUUUGCGAACUAAGAAAUAAAAAUAAUUAUAACGAGCAGCUUUUGGAAGACACUUUAAGCCGAGGGGAGGUUCGCGAUUCUGUCUUAAAUGAUCUCCGAUAUUUUCAUGUUUGUAAUCCGGGAUUGCCGCCGUGCAUAGCUCAUGAUUUUUUUGAAGGUAUUAUACCUUAUGAUUUAAUGGAAAUUCUGAGAGGCUUAAGUGUUACUUUUUGGUUUACCUUUGAUUACGUAAACGUUUUUUUUUAGCAAGUUCAAGAAAAAAAUUUCCAUUACAUAUGUCAUUUCCAAAAUUAAAGUUUAGUAUGAAAAAACUAGUAGGUAAGACAUAUGAAGUGCGGCAUAUUCUAUUUUUGCUGCCCUUUGUUUUAAUGAAUGUUGUUUCUGAUUAUGAAAAUCGAAUGUACUCUUUAUUUACAACAAUGGUUAGUAUGUGCCGAUUAAUAUAUUCUGAUACAAUAUCCGAGUGUAAGUUAGAAUUACUCAAUUACUACAUAUAUGUUUAUUUCGAAUUACGAGAGGAAUGCCUUCCUAAUGUAAAGCUUAGACCUAAGCAUCACUAUAUUAAACAUUAACUAAUGAGGCAAUUUGGACCUCUAAAAAAUUUUUUUUCGCUGCAUUUUGAACACAAACAUCAAUAUUUCAAGAAUAUUGCAAAUAAAUGUAAAAUUUUUUAAAACAUUACUUUAACUUUAGCAAAUAAACAUCAAUAUUUACAAGCAAGAAUGGUUGGGGAUAGGUUAAGCACAUAUUAUAAGCAAUAAUGUCUAUGAAUUGAAUCACGAUAUGUUCAAUAUAAAUAUUCCAAAAAAGUUUAUAUUUGUAUCCAAUACGAUUUUGUUUUGUGGAACUAAAUAUAGAAAGAAAGACGUUGUACUAUUUUCAGUUGACGAGCAAGGUUUCUGUUCUUACAAUUAACUCAAUUUUCAUAAGCGAAGAUUAUACGGAAUUUUCACUAUUUGGAAAUUUAAUGAAAAUAUGGUACAAUAGCACCAUUAGUUUAUACGAAUCUAUAUAUGCAAAUGAUAACAGUUUUGGAUUGAUAAGUAAUAAUACCUUGAUAAUACAACAACCAAUAAAAUUGCUUAUCUUCAAAAAUAAGCAAUACUUUCCACCAUUUUUUUCUUUUGUAGAAAAUACUUAAAGCAAGUGCCUCGUAUUUAAAAUAGAAAUUUAGUUCUGUAAAAUAUUAAGUUUUAGUUUUAGCCUUAGUACAAAAAAGGCAUUUCAAAAUGAGAAAAUAUCUAUGUAAAAUAUGGAACGCAGAUAGAUUAACAAAAAAGGCAUUUGUGUGCCACCCUUCGAUCGAUCUCGUAGUACAAAAAGCUAAAGAGUAUUCCCUAAAUGGAAGCCGUUUCGUAUGUACGACGGAACUGAUAUAGAUGACGAUGAGACCUUGGAAGGGUUUUUAGAGGAGAAGGCUACGUUAUUGCUCUUAAAUACUGAAGAAAAAUGGACAACCGACAGGAAAUUUAUUGAUCCAGCUGCCGAAAUCCACCCAAUAAAUUUCCCAAGUACACAGCCGUCUCAAACGUCUACUAUUUUUACGUUAUCGGAUGAUGAAAUAAAUAAAAUUUCUCAAACACAAUCCAUCAACAAUCCUACAAAGGAAAUCCUGCAAAAUCAGAGUUCCACCUCAGAGGGCAUAUACGCAACGCCACAGGGCAACAAAACCUGGAAAAUAUCGAAAAUGAAAGCGUUUUAUUAAUAUUUUCCGAAGAUGAUUGUAUGAACAAUAGCCCGAAUAUUUCCAACAUAGAUUCAGAAAACGCCAGGCGGUCAUAUGAUUAUUCUUUCAAAGCAAAUCCUCAAGCGGUUUGUGAUAUGUUUCAAAACUUUGAAAUUCCAUGGGCUAAAAUACCGAAUGAGGUACUUAACGCGAUAAAAAAUUAACAAAAAAUAGGUAAACUUUUGAGGCCUUUUCGAACGUAAUAGUAGACUAAUUACGUGAAAUUUCACAUUACAUACCGAUGACCGUUUAUAGAGCCGUUGCUCAGGCUGCAGCAAAUCAGUCCCUGAUUCUUUUAUUGAAAAAGAUGCGCAAGGAAAUGCCAUCUCGUUUGCACCAAUUUCACUAAUUACAACAAUGACAAAUAGAAAUAAUUUUUUGAAUAGUACGCUAAAACGAUCUGCAUUAAAUUCACGCAUACCAAAUAAAAAAAAAAUCAUUGAACGCGCUGGGCAGAAGUUGCGUUAACUAGGAACCACAAAGCACGAACGCAAGCAUCGAUGAUAUAAAUAGUAUUUGUUAUCUAUGUUUCAGAAAAAAAAUCUUCAAAAAAUCGAAAUAGAAAAUGUACGAAAGUAUAUGGCGGAAUGCUUCUCUGUGCAAAGAUUAUUUUUUAAUGACCCUCAGAAAAACAAAUCUCUUAAGGAUAUACUAAACCACUGGCCAAUGAUAUUUCACAAAAGCUGCCUGUACGAUCAUUUUAACACAUUAAUGCAGCUUGAUGUUGAAAAUUUCAAGUCAAACUUUGAAUUAUCUAAAGCCAAAAUAAGAUCGUUUUUUAAAAUUCAAAGUGAAAAGGACGAACUUAUUUUCAUUGCUAUUUCGAAAUACUUCAAGGAGAAGGACGAGCUCCUUUUUAAAUUUUAUAAGUUUGGGACGAUAAUUGAAGAAGUUAAAAAUGACAUAAAAGAGCCAACUCCCUGGAUUUCUAUUAUUGAUACAUCCCCCGAAGACGCUCUUCAAAAUAUAUCGUAUAUUUUUUUUGAAAGAGAGAUUACUUUUAAA
rnacentral:lncRNA from 1 species